UGGGAGACGAGCGAGGAGGGAGGCUGCCUGCCACACUGCCGGAGUGCCUGGCUCACUGGGUGUCGUGUUGGCGGUGGCAGCGAACGGGCGGAGAGGUGAGUGGGGCCACUCCUGGGGGGGCCAUGAAUGUGGCGCCCCCUCAAAAUUUUGUGCCUAGGGUGGCUGCCCCCCUGGCCCUCCCCACGUUACACCUCUGCCUUGCCAACUUCCCCAGUUCUCCUACCAGUGUUGAAACUGCUCUCCAUGAGGCCUCCACUUCUCAGCUUCUUCACACUGGAUCUCUCUCUGCUAGGACUGAAGGAAGACCCUCCUCUUUCAGGCCCAGUGUCCCAAUCUGAAGCCUUGGAGUAGCCUGCCACUCAAAGCUCUUUGAUUCUGAGAGGGAUUAACCCUUAACAGUCCUGCAAAUGUGUAUGUACAGUCCGUCCAGGCUUCUUUAAGACUUGCAGACCAUCACAAAAGCACAUACCCUGGAAAUCUAGUUGGUUUUUAAGGUGCUACUGGAUCUGAAUUUUGCUCUUCACUGACAGAGUUUCUCUGUCUUGCCUCAUGGCCUUCCAAGGGGAAGGAGGUACCUUUUCAGAGUUCCUAUCAUGAGGCCUCAUCUACAUAUCUGCCUGUAGCCUGAUGCUGAACUAGUUGGCUGUGGUAUAAGAAAGCUUAGGAUUCUUUUGUCUUCUACAAGAAAAAUGGUCAAGAAUGGCAUCUGCCUCAAUAAAUGUAUGUUCAGCCUUUUUCUACAAUUUAAUUGCCUGAAGAUUAAUUCCUGCACCUUGAGGAAAACAAUUCUGACUGGGUAGCUCUCUUAGUAAAUGAAAUACAACUAUUUCUAAUAGAGAAAACCUAAUGAAAAACUGCUCUUGCUGCUCAGCAACAAAUGGAGAGGACAAGACAGCCUUGAUCUUCAAAAUAGAAUUGGCAGAAAAUGGAAGCUGCCCACCACACUUUAUGUGUAUAUCUAAGUGUAUUUACUACUCCCUGAGGUUUCAUUCUCCUGAAGAAGUAACAGGGCCAGAGUCUACUUACAAGCCAUGAUGGUGACAGCAAUCAGGGGAAGAAGCAAUGCAGCUUUCACUUCUGGUAUGUUCUGAGUUGUGUCCUAAGUGGCCCACCAAUGUGGUUCUCCAUAACAGGGAAGAGGCAAAAAGGAGGAGUGGAGUUAGGAAGAUAAUCACUAUUUUAUUCAUGCAAUAAUGUAAAAGAUGAUUCAAGUCUACUUGUCCUCUUUGUCAGACGCAAGUAUCCUGGGACACAGAAGGGGAGAACUGAGGGAAGAUGAAUCUAUACAAAAUGUCAUCCUUCCUGACAGCAGAAGUACAAGACUGUUAGAAGAACCCUGCUGGGUCACAGCAGUGGCCAAUCUCAUCCAGCAUUCUGUUUCACACAGUGGCCAACCAGCUGCCCUUAAGGGUCAAUAAACUGGGCAGAGGUCAAGGCCUUUUUGGUGUUGCCUCCCAGCAUUGCUAUCCAGAGGUUUGCUGCUUCUGUAUACAGAGGCUCCUUUCAGUCACCAUGGCUGGUAACCAUUGAUGGACUUCUUGUUUAUGAAUCUGUAUAACCUCCUUUUAAAGCCACCUAUGCUUGUGGCCAUCAUUACAUCUGCUGCCACUUAAUCCCACAGCUUGUUUAUGUGUUAAGUUAAAACGUAUUUCCUUUUGUCUGUCCUGAAUCUAUUGCCCAUCAACAUUAUUAGGUGCCCCAAGUGCUGGUAUUAUGGGAAAGCAAGAGAAAAAGGCAGGAGCCACAUUCGAUUCUGAACAGUUAAGAUGCAAUAUGUAGUGUGGGAUGGAGUUCAGCCUCCAGAAAUUGGGAGCUCUUGAGGCACCUGACUUCUGAAAGGAAGCACAAGCUGAGGUAUUAUAAAGCCUUCGUCGUGACAGCUAUUGCAGGUAAGAAAACCCUCUUAUCCCAUGUGUGGCUGAAAUCAAGCCUUAAGGAGAAUCUGCCAGGGGAAGUUUGUCUGCAGCUGUUAGCACUGAGGCGCAGCUGUACGUCAAGCUGGGACAUCUAACAGCACAGCCCAUAUGGCUGUGGAAAAGCCAUGUCAGAAGUCUGAAAGAUGUAAAUGUGCCUUUUUGAAUGACCUUCCCAGUUAAGGAGCAAGUCCAAUGUCAAAAGGUUGCAUAAGAGAGUUCAAACAGUGCAAUUAGCAGUUUAGUUGUAUAUAUUAUUGAUCCAGCUGUGCAAAACAUUGGGCUAUUCACAGCAACUUGAACGGAGCAUAAAUUAGAACAUCCACACAGGCUUCGGUCUCUCGCAAAUAAUCAAAUUCCAAAACUAUAAAAAAGCUAUAUGGAACUGCAGUGAAGUUCAACUGGGGAACAGGCCAUCUUUGGGCAAAGGAACAUGUGCUGUACUUAUUCUUAGCUGUGGAUUAUAGUUGAAUCCCAGGAUGGAGAUGGGACUGUUUGCUGUCACAGAAAUCUCUGCUUUAGAAAGUCUAUAAAACUAACCACAUAUUGUACCUGGUUGUUAGCCCAGAAUUCACUUAACAAUAAAGCAUUUCUGGUGUACUUCAAAUAGGGGUUAACAUCUUGGGGAACACGGUAUUUCUAAGCAUAACCAACAUUCUCUUUAGCGGUCCAUCUGAGAUUCAGUAACAAACCCAGUGGCCUGCCAGUUGACCUUAAAGCUGCAGACCUUUAAUAUUAUAUUCCCGCAACAGUAUCCUAGUUGUACAACAGAGCCAGCCAUAACAUUGCGCAUGAGGGUACUAGCAUCCUUGGUAUGAUGCUAUCCUAUUAUUGAGCUUUUCUGAGAUUUCACAGAUGACAACUAUGGAGUAACUAGUUAUCACUACUGGAAUGUGUGACUGGCCUGGCACCAAUUGCCAUCAAUAGUGGUUCCUUCCCAAUUCAGCUGAAUGUCUCUAGGGUCAAAGCAAAAGAUUUGCAAAAAGUAAAUUGUGUGUAUGCACAGCUGCAAUUUGGAUUAGGGCUAUGUGAGAAGAGGAGAUUUAACCAGCCAUGAUAUGUUCUGUUUUGCUUAUCAAAACUGUGCUGUUGUUAGUGGUUUUAAAGAAAAACAGAUGUGUUCUUUAAAAUCUUUAAACCCACAAAUAAGAGUGCCAGAAGCCCAAUUUAAUUUGCAAGCUGAAGCAGGCUUUGAAGGGUUAACUCUCCCUCUUCCUUUGCUGUACACAUCUGAUUCAAAUUGUACUUGCGUGUGUGCACACAACUUACUUCUUAACUGACUGAUAGAUCUCUGACACACCUUAUUUUGGCCCAGGAGUUAUAAGAGGCCAUGACUGGAGGCCCAUGUAGAACAGAUUCAACUGUUCUUCCUAACGUGAUACAGCCCCCUCUAGGGUCUGUGCUUGCCUCUGCAUGUGUCAGAUGUGUGUAUGGACUACUACUUAUUUGAAAGUACUCCCAUAUCAAAAUGUGCUUGGAUGUGUCAAGUCUACACACUACAGAGAUGCCAUGGAUGAUGCCGAAAGUGAGAUUGGUUUCUCUUAAUAUAAUGUUCCAUGUUUAGAACCUUGAGCCAGAUCUAUUUCCUCAGGUAGGAAGUCUGUAAUAAGGGGUACUUUUGGAAAAUGAAAUCCUGCCCUGAAGUCCUAGUUGGCAAUACCUGGUGGGGAUUUCAUGGCAAGCAACUAACAGAGCUGGUUUGCCUGUGUCUACAACCCUGGUCUUUGUUGGAGGUCUCCCAUCCAAUUAUUAACCAAGGCCAACCCUGCUUAGUUUCUGAGGUCUGAUGAGCUUGGGCCCUCCUGGUCAGGACAAGUCUCACUUCUGAGGUGGUAUAGGCUUAUGUGUGUCUGUACCAUGUGCCUUCCCUUAAAAUUUGAACUGUACUUAGUAUAUGGUCAUUGAUCCUAAAUCUUUUUUUCAUUAGUGUCCUCAUCUUCUCCCGCUCCAAGCAGAACUGACCCAGCCUCAGCAGCAGUUGGUACGGAAGAGGCUCAAAUUCAUGCUUAACAAGGCCUCAAGACAAAAUGUUAAACAUGCCGGUAGCACCAGAGGAGCACAGCUGCUGUCCUGGAGAAGCAUUUGGCUCUUACCUUGGAACUGGCUGACCUGCUGCACAGGGUAUCAGGAAGAAAGCCUGGGGGCACAAGACCCCAGCAACUCUACAAGGAGCCAGGCAAAGAACUUGAUUCAAAACGUCUUCCUCAGGAGUCGCAACACAGAUAACCCCUGAAAAUAAUAAAUCACCACCAUGAAGCUCUUUGGUGGAAAAGCAAGCACCUCCAAAGGUGUGGUCGCUGGCAGAGGAAGCCCGACUGAUUGUAUUACUAUGGUACUGUAGCAUGUUGCACUUUAAUUGACUAUACAUUUGUUGUUACUUUUUCAAUAACACUUUAUACUAAUUUUUCA